rnacentral:rRNA from 1 species
CAGCCGCCGCGGUAAUACGGAGGGGGCUAGCGUUGUUCGGAAUUACUGGGCGUAAAGCGCACGUAGGCGGCUUUGUAAGUCAGAGGUGAAAGCCUGGAGCUCAACUCCAGAAUUGCCUUUGAGACUGCAUCGCUUGAACGUCGGAGAGGUGAGUGGAAUUCCGAGUGUAGAGGUGAAAUUCGUAGAUAUUCGGAAGAACACCAGUGGCGAAGGCGGCUCACUGGACGACUGUUGACGCUGAGGUGCGAAAGCGUGGGGAGCAAACAGGAUUAGAUACCCGUGUAGUCCCUGUCUCUUAUAC